GGCCCGUGACACCUUUAGUUCUUUCUUAGCCGCAAAGCGCUAGUAUCGCAACAAGCUGCAGCCAUAUUCUUUUUUCUAGUCGAUGGCCAUAUACAUAGACUCUGUGGCAUACUAUUCUCUCGUUAGAGAGUAGUAUGUACCUUGCUCUGUGGUAUAUAUACUGGGAAGCCAUAUUGUUUAUUGUUGUUGUCUCCAAAGGUUAAUAAAUUAUGGGAAUUGUGGUGAUCCCAAUUAAUUCCUGUAAAUAUAGGACUCAGUGCUUUGCCGAAGGCUCAAUUGUUGAACAGACACGUAUGACAGAAGCACUUCGAUAGACAUCAGUUCGACAGUAUGGGGUGGUAUGGGUACCCGACGUACGCAUGGUUAUCUCUACUUGUUUACUGAAAAGGAAAAUACUUCACGGAAUUCCUGAGCUCAUUAGCUGAACAUGAUUUCAGUGAUCACAAUUUUAUUAUGCUUUACAACCAACUUCAGAUCAACAGAAUUCAACAUUCAGAAGAUUCAACAGUAUCCACUCAAAGUACAAUAAUAAUAAUUAGUGCCAAUUUGACAACCAAGUGCAGGUAUUUUAUUAAAAGAAUAAAAGAAAUGUUUAUCAAAGAAAACAAGAAGCAAAGGCUAUUUUCAGAAGGAUCCUCAAAGAUGACUUUUGGUAAAUAUAUAUAAAGUGUAUAGAUUAAGAAGCAAGAAAUAUAAAACUGAAUUUGAUAAGUUGUUUUAUUUUACACCUAAAU